rnacentral:rRNA from 1 species
CACACCCCCCCCCCCAACAACUAGCCCAACCCCUAAAAACAACAACCCACAUUAAUAACCCCCCAAAAAGGACCCAUCCCUAAACAAACCAUUUUUCCCCCUAAGUAUGGGAGACAGAAAAGGACCUCAGGCGCCAUAGAAAAAGUACCGCAAGGGAAAGCUGAAAGAGAAAUGAAAAAACGCAGUAAAGGACAAAAAAGCAGAGAUCCCCCCUCGUACCUUUUGCAUCAUGAUUUAGCUAGUACCCCCGAGCAAAGAGACCUUUAUGUUCGAACCCCCGAAACUGGACGAGCUACUCCGAGACAGCCUAUAAUAGGGCCAACCCGUCUCUGUGGCGAAAGAGUGGGAAGAGCUCUGAGUAGAGGUGACAGACCUACCGAGCCCAGUCAUAGCUGGUUGCCUGGGAACUGAAUAGAAGUUCAACCUUUUGACUUUUUUCACCAGAAAGGUCCCAUCCACCACAGGAUAAAAGAAAUCAAAAGAGCUAUUCAAGGGAGGGACAGCUCUCUUGAAAAAAGACACAACUUUAACAGCAGACUAAAGAUUAUAUUAAAAAAGGCAAUAUACCCAAGUGGGCCUAAAAGCAGCCACCCUAAUAGAAAGCGUUAAAGCUUAAGUAUUCGCCCCCACCAAUUCUAAUAAACACAUCUUAAAUCCCUAAACUUACCAGGCCCUUUCAUGCAACCAUGAAAAAGAAACUGCUAAUAUGAGUAAUAAGAAAGCCCCGACUUUCUCCCGUACACCCGUGUAAUCAGAACAGACCCUAACUGAAAAUUAACGCCCCCACCACAUAGGGACAUAGCCCAUAAACUAGCCCAAACUAGAAAACCCACUAACUAUUAGCGUUAACCCCACACAGGAGUGUUUUAGGAAAGACAAAAAGAAAAAGAAGGAACUCGGCAAACACUGGCCUCGCCUGUUUACCAAAAACAUCGCCUCUUGCAAACAAUAGUAUAAGAGGUCCCGCCUGCCCUGUGACGAGAGUUUAACGGCCGCGGUAUUUUGACCGUGCGAAGGUAGCGUAAUCACUUGUCUUUUAAAUAGAGACCUGUAUGAAUGGCAUAACGAGGGCUAAACUGUCUCCUUUUUCCAGUCAAUGAAAUUGAUCUGCCCGUGCAGAAGCGGGCAUCUUACCAUAAGACGAGAAGACCCUAUGGAGCUUAAGACACAAGAAAAGUUUACAUGGCCCCCUCCUUAGCAACAAGGAAUAUAGACUAAGUAACCCCUUUUCCUAUGUCUUUGGUUGGGGCGACCGCGGGGAAACAAGAAACCCCCAUGUGGAACAAGACCUCCUCCUUUAAAACUAGAGCCACCCCUCUAACAAACAGAAAAUCUGACCAAAAGACCCGGCAAAGCCGAUCAACGGACCCAGUUACCCUAGGGAUAACAGCGCAAUCCUCUUUUAGAGCCCAUAUCGACAAGGGGGUUUACGACCUCGAUGUUGGAUCAGGACAUCCUAAUGGUGCAGCCGCUAUUAAGGGUUCGUUUGUUCAACGAUUAAAGUCCU